GCAGUGGUGGUUCAGUGAUAGCAUUCUCACCUUUCAUGCUGAGACCUGGGUUCGAUUCCCAGCCAAUGCA
rnacentral:tRNA from 1 species